AUGGAGAAUGUUGUAGUGUUGAUUGUUGGCGCUGGGCCAGCAGGCCUUGCAACAGCAGCAUGCCUUAGCCAAUUCUCAAUUCCCUAUGUCAUUGUCGAGCGUGAAAGUUGCAGCGCGUCGCUUUGGCGCAACCGCGCCUACGAUCGCCUCAAGCUGCAUCUUGCAAAGGAGUUCUGUGAGUUGCCACACAUGUCAUACCCACUAGAUGCGCCAACAUACAUACCAAAAACCUUGUUUAUGAAGUACUUGGAUAACUAUGUUGAGCGUUUUAAUAUUCGACCCAAGUAUCUCACUAGUGUGGAGACAUCCACAUUUGACAAUGACCAAAAAUGUUGGUCCAUCGUGGCACAUGACAUGGCAAAGAGCACACUAGUCAGUCUGGAAUGGAAAUUGCUUAUGACCUUGCGACCCAUGGUGCCAAUACUUCAAUCGUUAUACGAAGCCCGGUAUGUACACGCACUAUAUAUUAUUUUUUGA
rnacentral:rRNA from 1 species